GGCCGAUCCAAGAGCUUGCUCUCUGGCGACGAGUGGCGGACGGGUGAGUAAUACUUAGGAAUCUGCCCAGUAGUGGGGGACAACUCGGGGAAACUCGAGCUAAUACCGCAUACGCCCUAAGGGGGAAAGUGGAGGAUCUUCGGACUUCACGCUAUUGGAUGAGCCUAAGUCGGAUUAGCUUGUUGGUGAGGUAAAGGCUCACCAAGGCGACGAUCCGUAGCUGGUCUGAGAGGACGAUCAGCCACACUGGGACUGAGACACGGCCCAGACUCCUACGGGAGGCAGCAGUGGGGAAUAUUGGACAAUGGGGGCAACCCUGAUCCAGCAAUGCCGCGUGUGUGAAGAAGGCCUGCGGGUUGUAAAGCACUUUCAGUAGAGAAGAAAAGCUUAGGGUUAAUACCCCCGAGUCUUGACGUUACCUACAGAAGAAGCUCCGGCUAACUCCGUGCCAGCAGCCGCGGUAAUACGGAGGGAGCGAGCGUUAAUCGGAAUUACUGGGCGUAAAGCGCGCGUAGGCGGCUUUGUAAGUCGGAUGUGAAAGCCCUGGGCUCAACCUGGGAAUGGCAUUCGAUACUGCAUGGCUAGAGUAUGGUAGAGGGAAGUGGAAUUUCCGGUGUAGCGGUGAAAUGCGUAGAUAUCGGAAGGAACA
rnacentral:rRNA from 1 species